rnacentral:rRNA from 1 species
AUUGAACGCUGGCGGCAUGCUUUACACAUGCAAGUCGAACGGUAACAGGGUGCUUGCACCGCUGACGAGUGGCGAACGGGUGAGUAAUGCGUCGGAACGUGCCGAGUAGUGGGGGAUAACGCAGCGAAAGUUGUGCUAAUACCGCAUACGUACUGAGGUAGAAAGUGGGGGACCUUCGGGCCUCACGCUAUUCGAGCGGCCGACGUCUGAUUAGCUAGUAGGUGAGGUAAAGGCUCACCUAGGCGACGAUCAGUAGCGGGUCUGAGAGGAUGAUCCGCCACACUGGGACUGAGACACGGCCCAGACUCCUACGGGACGCAGCAGUGGGGAAUUUUGGACAAUGGGCGAAAGCCUGAUCCAGCCAUGCCGCGUGUCUGAAGAAGGCCUUCGGGUUGUAAAGGACUUUUGUCAGGGAGGAAAUCCCUAGUGCUAAUAACACUGGGGGAUGACAGUACCUGAAGAAUAAGCACCAGCUAACUACGUGCCAGCCGCCGCAGUAA